rnacentral:rRNA from 1 species
UCCUACGGGCGGCUGCAGUGGGGAAUCUUAGACAAUGGGGGCAACCCUGAUCUAGCCAUGCCGCGUGAGUGAUGAAGGCCCUAGGGUUGUAAAGCUCUUUCAGCUGGGAAGAUAAUGACGGUACCAGCAGAAGAAGCCCCGGCUAACUCCGUGCCAGCAGCCGCGGUCAUACGGAGGGGGCUAGCGUUGUUCGGAAUUACUGGGCGUAAAGCGCGCGUAGGCGGACUGGAAAGUUGGGGGUGAAAUCCCGGGGCUCAACCUCGGAACUGCCUCCAAAACUAGCAGUCUGGAGUUCGAGAGAGGUGAGUGGAAUUCCGAGUGUAGAGGUGAAAUUCGUAGAUAUUCGGAGGAACACCAGUGGCGAAGGCGGCUCACUGGCUCGAUACUGACGCUGAGGUGCGAAAGCGUGGGGAGCAAACAGGAUUAGAUACCCGGGUAGUCG